AGUGGACGCUGGCGGCGUGCUUAACACAUGCAAGUCGAACGAGAACGGAUUAUAGCUUGCUAUAAUUGUCAGCUAAGUGGCGCACGGGUGAGUAAUGUAUAGGUAAUAUGCCUCUUACUAAGGGAUAACAAAUGGAACCGUUUGCUAAUACCUUAUACUCCUUAUUAACAGAAGUUAAUAAGGGAAAGAUUUAUUGGUAAGAGAUUAGCCUGUAUUGUAUCAGUUAGUUGGUGGUGUAAUGGCUUACCUAGACUAUUACACAUAACUGGUUUGAGAGGAUGAUCGGUGCUACUGGAGCGGAGAGACGGGACAGACUCCUACGGGAGGCAGCAGUGGGAAAUAUUGCACAAUGGACGAAAGUUUGAUGCAAUAACGCCGCGUGGAGGAUGACACAUUUCGGUGAGUAAACUCCUUUUAUAUGAGAAGAUAAUGACGGUAUUAUAUGAAUAAGCACCGGCUAACUCCGUGCCAGCAGCCGCAGUAAAAC
rnacentral:rRNA from 1 species